rnacentral:ncRNA from 1 species
UGUAUAUUUAAUAAUUAAUAUAUUAUAUAGGGGUUAAUGUGUUAAUAAUCACCUAACCUAGACCUUGAUGCCACAACCCCCUAACCUUCUAAAUCAUCGACCCAUAACCCAUAACCCUUCUAAAGACCCAAUGUGAUUUAUUUCCAUUUCUAUACAUGUCAAAGUGAAUAAAUUCAACCAAGCACGGGUAAACGGUGGGAGUAACUAUGACUCUCUUAAGGUAUCCAGAUGCCUCGUCAUCUAAUUAAUGACGUGCAUGAAUGGAUCAUUAAUGGCAUUCCCCGCUAUCCCUAGCUACUAUAUUCUAGAGAAACCACAUCCAAGGGAAUGGGCUUGGCAAAAUUAGCGGGGAAAGAAGACCAUGUUGAGAUUGACUCUAGUCCUAACCCAUUCAUAGUUUGGGA